ensembl:lncRNA
CGAGAAAGGAUCAGGAACGAGGCGAGCGCUGUUUCUCGCCGCUGGGCGCCGCAGCUCCUUGCACUCAGCGGGCGCCCAGUGAAUAUCUGGAAUGAAUGAGCGGCGCGCUACCGCGGGCGCCCCAGAGCCUUCACAGACCCUGGGAGAGGAGAGCUGGGCCCGGGCGCUCGGGAUCUCCUGGGGCCGCAGGCUCUACCGCCCAGACAGAACCUCGGUCUCCUGCAGAACAGAACUAGUGCUGGGGAGACGGCGCUCCCGAAGGGUCAGGUCAUUCCCUAGGACCCUCACUGGGGAAAUGAGAUACAAAGUCCUAAUUGGAAGCCCUGCGUCCUAAAACACCGGGAUCCUUGCCCAAGUCUGCCCCAAGACUUUGUCCCUUCCUAAAUAGCCAGAAGGCGGCUCGGCUGAAGAGGCCCAGGCUCAUCCCUGUCUGUUCUUAGAUCUUUUAUUGACGAGGUUCCAAAAAGCGGGGACCGCGCGUUGGAUAUGGCUGAGAGGGAGGCUUGGAAAAUGGAGAUGGGGUAGGAGCCGAGGGCGCUUUGCUACCUCACACUGAAAAGUCAAAUCGCGGAGUAGAUGGCCGGCUUCCUACGUUCACCGUCUGGGAACACACUUCCUGCAAAAGCUGUAUUGUCCCUGCGCUCUGUGGAGGUUUCCUAGCCUAUUUGAAACAUGAAAGGAAGAUAAACCUGUAGUGAAAGAUAGUAAAGUGUAAUCUAGAGAAUUCAGUGCAUUGAACAUUGUUGACUUGUGAAGCCAGGCCUGAAGUUUUGGGGUUUGUUUUUUGUUUUAAUCCUGCUUUUCCUUUUUGGAUUUAGGUCCCAGGAGUUACUGUCCUCUCUGUCAACCAGUAGGUGUCCGUGUGCAACAUGUCACUAAAGAAAUGCUUCCAUCAUUCCGGACUUGACAUCCAGAAGGAACCCCACCAUCACACCCCGAAAAAAACCCACUCUUGGGCCGGGGAUUUAGCUCAGUGGUUUCUCUGCCUGCUGCACAAGCGCAAAGACCUGAGUUUGAUCUCCAGUACCAAAGAAAAAAAACCACUCUCUCUUCCUUGGUCAAUGGCGUCAUCGAACUUACUGCCCAGAAGAAGCAUUAUGCAUAUUCCACAACCAGAGACCCCCACAUUCCGAAGCCACACAAAGCACAGGCACAUUCUGCAGAGAGAGCGCUCCCAGGACCUGCCCAAAGGAGCCUGGGCAAGAAGAAUGAGCAUAAAUGAAUUUGGAGGCUGUUUGACCUGAAUACUCUGAGAAUCCCUGACCGUGCCUAAGAAUGGAAUGGCAAGAUUGGAAAACAGCUGGCCAGAGCCGCCCUUUCCCCUGCGAUCACCAACCAGGUUUAGUUUGCUGAAUCUGGCUAACUCAACUUCUCCACCAGAACCUAUGGAUUGUGUUAAGGAGAGAGAAGGAUUGAUCUUUGAGCCUACAUAUGAAUGAGGGGUGGACAGCUGGAAUACAAAAGAGAAGGAUAAAGAUAAAUGGAUUGCAGUUGGUUCGAGGCAGUAUUUGGUGGGUUUCUAAGGCAAAUGCUUUGGAGCAGGGUGAUUCCCUGUACCCCAGGAACAGGUGGUACCCUGAACCAGGUGGUACAGGAAGUUGGAACUGGGGGCUCAGGAGCUGGUGGGGUUGGGGGAGAGAAACCUGUCCUCCCAGCUCUAGCUUUUCUGAUGGAGAAGGAGAUGGUGUCAUAGUUCUAAUACUGUUCUUCUCCUUGUCCCAGUCAUGGGAAGGUUCAUACUUGGUCAUCACAUUCACACAAACACUCAGUUUUGUUUCUAGAAUGUGCUUCACAGCAAAUGUCUGAAUUAGCUGACACCACUAAGAGGGCGAGGAUGCAGAAAGGAGCAAUGAGUAGUCAUUAGUUUGUUGAAAACUCCAUCUGUACUCAGGUGAGAUAGAGUCAAAGCUACCUGAUUUUUAAAAAAUCUUUAUUUUUAUAUGUCUUGAAAAAUUACUACAUUUAAAAAAAAUGUCAUAUGCUGGGCAUGGUGGUGCAUGUCUGUAAGCCCAACAAUUUGGGAACCUGAGGCAGGAGGAUCACAAGUUUGAGGCCAGGCUACAAGCUCAGUGACUUAGCAAGGCCCUGUCUCAAAAUAAAAAAUUAAAAAGAGCUAGGGUUGUAGCUUAGUAUGAAGGCCUUGGGUUCAAUUCCCAGUGCUGCAAAAGCAAACAAAAACCAGUCUUCAUAAUACUGUGUAAAACAAGAGAUGAUGAAAAUGAAGAAACAAUAUGGAAAAAUUUUGAUGUAAAUUUAAAUGAAAACAAUAAAACUACAUAUGCCACGAUGUAAUUAUAACUAUAGAAAAUCAUCUGUUUAUGUGGAAAAUUACCACACAAGAACAUGAAAAAAAUUGAAAACCUUAACUUUCUUCAGAACACAAUCAGUCAAAGGACACUACUUGUUUGCUGAGGCCUCUGGAGUAUGAAGUUAAAAAGGAAGUUAUUUGCUUAAACUUGACCUUUAUUUGUGUAAAGAGUGAAGUUUCAUCCAGUCAUUCCUUGGUCAUAGGGACACUAGAACUCUAUUGUACAGCUGGGCCUCAGGUUCAGCAGAUUUUUCUUCCUAUCACUUUGUGGUGAAGAAAACAAACACUUGUUCUAGACUUUUUAUUUAAUGCCAGACAAUUUUGUUGUUCACAGUCACCAGCUGUAAAGCAAGAACAAUAACUAAUGUCUGUAGAAAAGUAUGUACUCAGCUUAUUUGCUCCCUCUGCAGUUUAACGAAAUGAAUAUAACUCUUGUUGUCCCCACCUUACAAAUGAGGGAAUUGUGGGUUAGAAGAGUUAAGAAAGUCCCUGCAUAGUUAUUUAUUAGUAGAACUAAAUCCAAACCCAGAUAGCCUGACUCCAGGGCCUGGGGUGGAAACUGGAAGUCAGUGAAUGUUUAUUGAAAAGGGAUGUGGAAUACAUGUAUAUGCUUUGCAGAUCACAUGGACUUUAUUGAGACCAAUCACUCAACUCUGCAAUUGUAGCAGAAAACCAGCCACAGACAAGAUGUAAAUGAAUGAGUGUAGCUGUGUUCCAAUAAAACUUUAUUUGUAGUCAUGAAAUUUGAAUUGCACACAAUUUUCAUAUGCAUGAAAUGUUACUGUUCUUUGGAUUUUCUUUGCUUUUACAUUUCUUGAAAUGUAAAAGACGUUCAUAACUUUUGGGCUGCAUACAAGCAGGUGACAGGGUAGAUUUGGCCCUGGGGUUGUGGUUUUCAAACUCCUAACCCGUGACUGUCACCUGGUUAAGUAUGUGUGAAGGCUGAGGGCUUCUAGGAGGAGGAGCAGGAUGACAAAGCAGACCCACUGGUGAUGGAACUUUUCACUGGAAUUGUUUGCAUCAGGGCUUGGGAAAAGCCUUUGGAAGAGAAGUCAUUGGGAAAGAAGAAUCCCAAAUAAUAAAGGCUGCCUAGGAAAUAAGACAGGCACAAGGUCCCGAGUUCAAUCCCCGGUACCAAAAAAAAAAAAAGAAAAAGACAGAGCUGGGUAUGGUGAUGCACACCUCUAAUCCCAGCUACUUGAGAGGCUGAGGCAGGAGAAUCACAGUUGGAGACCAGCCUGGGCAACUUAGCAACAACUUAUCUCAAUAUAAGAUGAAAAGGGCUGAGGACUUAGCACCCCCUAGAUUCAAUCUCCAUUACCAGAAGAAGAAGAAAAACCAGAAAGCAUGGCACAUCUGAUAGCAGUGAAAAAUCUGCUUUUGGGAAUUGUUUAGUAGUUGUACCUCUCUGAAUUCUAAUCUGAAAAGUAAGAACUAUAAGGAAGUAAACUAUGUAAACAAACCUCUGUAAGACAAGUAGCCACUAAACAAAUAUACCUUUUUAAGACGCGGUCUGGCUUUAUGUCACCUUGCAGUCCUGUUCGGCCUCAAAUUCAUAAUUCUUCUGCCUCAGCUUCCUAAGUGCUGGAAUUACAAGUGUGCCCCACUGUGGCGGGCUUGAGUAGAUUUCUAAAGAGAGUCAGGUGGCAUUCUCGGGGGUAGCCCAGUGGAAAUGACAUGGGGGUCCAGCUGAGACAGUGAUGCCAGGAGAUGUGACUUUAUCUGUGGAAUGUUCUCAAGGCCAAGCAGGUCCUUGGUGGUACCACCUGGUAAAGGUCAGAGGCCAAAAGAACAAAAUAAUAGCCAAGUUGGUUUGUGAAAAACAUACCUUCGGGUCUUCCAGAAAUCUUUGAAGAGGGGUUGAAAGGGAGAAUUGUAGAACAAAAUUGUAAAACAGGCAUCAAAUAAGAAAUAAUUCGUAAAUGGUUUCCCAUUCAUUAGCGCAUGGACGUUGGGACAGCUAUUGGUUAUCUUUAGCUGGUCCUUGUCCUCAGAAUUUGUGGUUUUGAAUGUCAUUCCUUUUAUCCUCUUGGGAAAAGCUGUAUUUAGUGUAGAUUUGUGAUACUUGUAAUAAAAAUGACUCAAAGCUUUAGGGACUGUACAUUUGGACGGUAAGAGUGUGAAUUCAGAUAUUUUGAAAGGUACCCUUUGAAUCAAGCAACUAUGUGAUGCAAAACUUAUUGACAAUAACAGGACAUCUUUAAUAUUAAAAUGUAGGCACUGUUAUUAGAGUAAUUUCAUCUUAUAGUCCUCAGUCUUCAGGUAUGGCUCGUCCAAGGCUUUGGGCAAUAUUCCUGAACUCAUUCCGUUCGAGAUAACCAUUUAAAGAUAAAUCUUUAAAUACUUUGCAGCAAUUACCUGGCUCAGCUGAGUAAUUGCUGGCUGACCAAGCCCUGGGGUUCAUUACUUACAUAUUUCCCUAGUUGUGUUACUGUGCCGUAAUGUUCUUAUUUAAACGAGCCCUUCCUGUAGAACACCUCAUAUCACAUAUGCAAAACGUCUGUUAGGAGGAGAAAUAAACUUGGAUUUUUCC